ensembl:lncRNA
CGCAUUUUGGUCCUCCGAUCCUUCUCGCCUCUCCUCUUCAGAUGAAGAGGACGACCGUGACAACGGCAUUCAAACACCUCAUUGAAGCCCAACUCCUACAGUACUGAUCCAGUAUUGACGGAAGUCCCGCCUUUGCAGGAAUUCCGUGUGGUUUCAGUUUUCAGUGUUACAUCCUAGAUCCACAAGCUUGGACAACCGGACGGAACGGAGCUCCUCAAAAAGGACAUCCCCUGGCCAUUCUUGCGGAGGUCUGCAGCUUGCAGAAAUCCUGCAGAAAUCCUACCAGGGUAAACCAGCAGAAGGGGACUUCUACUAUGAUCCACAAACCAGGACAACUUGUGGUCAUUUUUAUGGUGGGUUGCAACUUGCAGAAGGUUGAACCCAUCAGAGGAGGAC